UACAAACCUGACUCAGUUACACCAGCUCUGUCAGGAGGAAUGGGUCAAAAUUCACCCUACUUAUUUUUGGAAGCUUGUGGAAGGCUACCUGAAACAUUUAACCCAAGUUAAACAAUUUAAAGGCAAUGCUAAAAAAUACUAAUUGAGUGUAUGUAAACUUCUGACCUGGGAAUGUGAUGAAAGAAAUAAAAUCUGAAAUAAAUUCUCUCUACUAUUAUUCUGACAUUUCACAUUCCUAAAAUAAAGUGGUGAUCCUAACCGAUCUAAGAAAGGGAAUUUUUAAUGGGAUUAAAUUUCAGGAAUUAGUGAAAAACUGAGUUUAAAUGUAUUUUGCUAAGGUGUAUGUAAACUUCCGACUUCAACUGUAUGUUUUAAAUGACGAUCUGUUGUUGUCCUCAGGGAGAGCUGAAGAAGUCCUCUCCGGGAUCGCUUGUCAACGCAGAACACAGAGGACUAUCUCCCAAAGUAAUCACAGGCUUUAUGAGUCUAAUGUGUAAAUACCGGUCAGGUUAUUAAUGUUGUUGUCCUCGGGGAGAGAAGACCUCAGGCUUUAUGAGUCUAAUGUGUAAUUACUGGUCAGGUUAUUAAUGUUGUUGUCCUCGGGGAGAGAAGACCUCAGGCUUUAUGAGUCUAAUGUGCAAUUACUGGUCAGGUUAUUAAUGUUGUUGUCCUCAGGCUUUAUGAGUCUAAUGUGUAAUUACUGGUCAGGUUAUUAAUGUUGUUGUCCUCAGGCUUUAUGAGUCUAAUGUGUAAUUACUGGUCAAGUUAUUAAUGUUGUUGUCCUCAGGCUUUAUGAGUCUAAUGUGUAAUUACUGGUCAGGUUAUUAAUGUUGUCCACAGGCUUUAUGAGUCUAAUGUGUAAUUACUGGUCAGGUUAUUAAUGUUGUUGUCUACAGGCUUUAUGAGUCUAAUGUGUAAUUACUGGUCAGGUUAUUAAUGUUGUUGUCCUCGAGGAGAGAAGACCUCAGGCUUUAUGAGUCUAAUGUAUAAUUACUGGUCAGGUUAUUCAUGUGUAAUUACCGGUCAGGUUAUUAAUGUUGUCGCUUCCUUCUGAAUCCUCAUUUCUGUAUUUUAUUUCAACAGAUGAGUCUGGGAGUGACAGAGUUGAAAUGAUGGAGAUGCAACCCUUACUGGGUCCUGGAUCAGGAGAGAUAGGCAAGACAGGCUGUUGAAGCACUGGGAGAUCAGGAGAGAGAGG
rnacentral:lncRNA from 1 species